rnacentral:misc_RNA from 1 species
GAUGAAGAACGCAGCGAAAUGCGAUAAGUAAUGUGAAUUGCAGAAUUCAGUGAAUCAUCGAAUCUUUGAACGCAUCUUGCGCUCCUUGGUAUUCUGAGGAGCAUGCCUGUUUGAGUGUCAUUAAAUUCUCAACUACACUGACUUUGAAUUGGUGUGGCUUGGAUUUGGGGGGGAAAAUUGUUGUGGGCUUUUUGUAUAGUCUGCUCCCCUGAAAUUGAUUAGCGGUACCUUUGUGGAACUGUCUACAGGUGUGAUAAUUAUCUACAUCCUAGACAUCUGCUGGAAUGCUGCUUUCUAAACCUUACUUGUAUUGACAAUCUUGACCUCAAAUCAGGUAGGACUACCCGCUGAACUUAAGCAUAUCAAUAAGCGGAGGA